GCUUGUCUCAAAGAUUAAGCCAUGCAUGUCUAAGUAUAAACAAAUCUAUACUGUGAAACUGCGAAUGGCUCAUUAUAUCAGUUAUAGUUUAUUUGAUGGUUCUUGCUACUUGGAUAACCGUAGUAAUUCUAGAGCUAAUACAUGCAUCAAACCCCGACUUCUGGAAGGGGUGUAUUUAUUAGAUGGAAACCAAUGCGGGGCAACCCGGAUUCUGGUGAUUCAUAAUAACUCCUCGAAUCGCAUGGCCUUGCGCCGGCGAUGUUUCAUUCAAAUUUCUGCCCUAUCAAUUUGAUGGUAGGAUAGAGGCCUACCAUGGUGGUAACGGGUGACGGAGAAUUAGGGUUCGAUUCCGGAGAGGGAGCCUGAGAAACGGCUACCACAUCCAAGGAAGGCAGCAGG
rnacentral:rRNA from 1 species